AGCCAUGCUCAGUACGGCGAGUGAGCGGCAAAAGCUCAAAUUUGAAAUCUGGCACCUUCGGUGUCCGAGUUGUAAUUUGAAGAAGGUAACUUUGGAGUUGGCUCUUGUCUAUGUUCCUUGGAACAGGACGUCACAGAGGGUGAGAAUCCCGUGCGAUGAGAUGCCCAACUCUAUGUAAAGUGCUUUCGAAGAGUCGAGUUGUUUGGGAAUGCAGCUCUAAGUGGGUGGUAAAUUCCAUCUAAAGCUAAAUAUUGGCGAGAGACCGAUAGCGAACAAGUACAGUGAUGGAAAGAUGAAAAGAACUUUGAAAAGAGAGUGAAAAAGUACGUGAAAUUGUUGAAAGGGAAGGGCUUGAGAUCAGACUUGGUAUUUUGCAAGCCUUACCUUCGUGGUGGGGUCCCCUGCAGUUUACUGGGCCAGCAUCGGUUUGGAUGGUAGGAUAAUGACUUGGGAAUGUGACUUUGCUUCGGUAAAGUGUUAUAGCCCUUGUUGAUACUGCCUGUCUAGACCGAGGACUGCGUCUUUGACUAGGAUGCUGGCAUAAUGAUCUUAAGUCGCCCGUCUUGAAACAACGGACCCA
rnacentral:rRNA from 1 species